rnacentral:rRNA from 1 species
UUGGAGGGCAAGUCUGGUGCCAGCAGCCGCGGUAAUUCCAGCUCCAAUAGCGUAUAUUAAAGUUGUUGCAGUUAAAAAGCUCGUAGUUGAAUUUCGGGAUCAAUAUAUCGGUCGUGCCAUCGGUACGUACUGGUAUGAUUGGUUUCUCCUUUCUGACGAACCAUGAUGUCAUUAAUUUGGUGUUAUGGGAAGUUAGGACUGUUACUUUGAAAAAAUUAGAGUGUUUAAAGCAGGCUUUAGCUUGAAUACAUCAGCAUGGAAUAAUGAAAUAGGACGUUCGAACCUAUUUUGUUGGUUUCUAGGAUCAACGUAAUGAUUAAUAGGGAUAGUUGGGGGCAUUAGUAUUCAAUUGUCAGAGGUGAAAUUCUUGGAUUUAUUGAAGACUAACUACUGCGAAAGCAUUUGCCAAGGAUGUUUUCAUUAAUCAAGAACGAAAGUUAGGGGAUCGAAGACGAUCAGAUACCGUCGUAGUCUUAACCAUAAACUAUGCCGACUAGGGAUCGGAUGAUGUUAAUUUUUUAAUGACUCAUUCGGCGCCUUACGGGAAAC